rnacentral:rRNA from 1 species
UACGUAGGUGGCAAGCGUUGUCCGGAUUUACUGGGCGUAAAGAGCGCGCAGGCGGUCGUUCAAGUCGCGUGUGAAAGCCCCCGGCUCAACUGGGGAGGGUCACGCGAUACUGAUCGACUCGAAGGCAGGAGAGGGUAGUGGAAUUCCCGGUGUAGUGGUGAAAUGCGUAGAUAUCGGGAGGAACACCAGUGGCGAAGGCGACUACCUGGCCUGUUCUUGACGCUGAGGCGCGAAAGCGUGGGGAGCAAACA